GUCCUGAUAGCUCAGGCGGUAGAGCAUGAGACUCUUAAUCUCAGGGCUGUGGGUUCGAUCCCCACGUUGGGUA